rnacentral:miRNA from 1 species
GUGACGAUAAGAUUGAGAGGGGAGGAUGGGAGGGAGGGGUAACAAAAAUAAAAACAAAAACUUAAAAGUGAAAACAAUUUCAAAUAGAUUUCAGUUUUUUAUUUUUGUUUUCACUUUUGUUACUCCUCUCUUCCAUCUUCCCCCUUAAUCUUCCAUCUCAA